rnacentral:rRNA from 1 species
CAGCAGCCGCGGUAAUACGUAGGGUGCAAGCGUUAAUCGGAAUUACUGGGCGUAAAGCGUGCGCAGGCGGUUUGUUAAGACAGAUGUGAAAUCCCCGGGCUUAACCUGGGAACUGCAUUUGUGACUGGCAAGCUAGAGUAUGGCAGAGGGGGGUGGAAUUCCGCGUGUAGCAGUGAAAUGCGUAGAUAUGCGGAGGAACACCGAUGGCGAAGGCAGCCCCCUGGGCCAAUACUGACGCUCAUGCACGAAAGCGUGGGGAGCAAACAGGAUUAGAUACCCGAGUAGUCCCUGUCUCUUAUAC